rnacentral:ncRNA from 1 species
UCUUUCGGGGCGGGGUGAGAUUCCCCACCGGCGGUAAUAGUCCGCGAGCCGCGUAUGCGGCUGACCCGGUGUGAUCCCGGGACCGACGGUUAUAGUCCGGAUGAGAGAAGGA